rnacentral:rRNA from 1 species
AGAACGAACGCUGGCGGCAGGCCUCAAACAUGCAAGUCUAGGGGGUGUAGCAAUACAUCACCGGCGGACGGGUGCGUAACGCGUGGGAAUGUACCUACUGGUUCGGAACAACUGCGGGAAACUGCAGCUAAUACCGAAUGUGCCCGAAAGGGGAAAGAUUUAUCGCCAGUAGAUCAGCCCGCGUAGGAUUAGCUAGUUGGUGGGGUAAUGGCUCACCAAGGCUCCGAUCCUUAGCUGUUCUGAGAGGAAGAUCAGCCACACUGGGACUGAGACACGGCCCAGACUCCUACGGGAGGCAGCAGUUGGGAAUCUUGGACAAUGGGGGAAACCCUGAUCCAGCCAUGCCGCGUGAGUGAUGAAGGCCUUCGGGUUGUAAAACUCUUUCGACGGGGACGAUAAUGACGGUACCCGUAGAAGAGCUCCGGCUAACUUCGUGCCAGCAGCCGC